rnacentral:rRNA from 1 species
GAUGAACGCUGGCGGCGUGCCUAAUACAUGCAAGUCGAGCGAACAGACGAGGAGCUUGCUCCUCUGACGUUAGCGGCGGACGGGUGAGUAACACGUGGAUAACCUACCUAUAAGACUGGGAUAACUUCGGGAAACCGGAGCUAAUACCGGAGAAUAUAUUGAACCGCAUGGUUCAAUAGUGAAAGACGGUUUUGCGGUCACUUAUAGAUGGAUCCCCGCCGCAUUAGCUAGUUGUUAAGGUAACGGCUUACCAAGGCAACGAUGCGUAGCCGACCUGAGAGGGUGAUCGGCCACACUGGAACUGAGACACGGUCCAGACUCCUACGGGAGGCAGCAGUAGGGAAUCUUCCGCAAUGGGCGAAAGCUUGACGGAGCAACGCCGCGUGAGUGAUGAAGGUCUUCGGAUCGUAAAACUCUGUUAUUAGGGAAGAACAAAUGUGUAAGUAACUAUGCACGUCUUGACGGUACCUAAUCAGAAAGCCACGGCUAACUACGUG